AGAGUUUGAUCAUGGCUCAGGACGAACGCUGGCGGCGUGCUUAACACAUGCAAGUCGAACGGAAAGGUCUCUUCGGAGAUACUCGAGUGGCGAACGGGUGAGUAACACGUGGGUAAUCUGCCCUGCACUUCGGGAUAAGCCUGGGAAACUGGGUCUAAUACCGAAUAGGACCAUAAGGCGCAUGCCUAUUGGUGGAAAGCUUUUGCGGUGUGGGAUGGGCCCGCGGCCUAUCAGCUUGUUGGUGGGGUGACGGCCUACCAAGGCGACGACGGGUAGCCGGCCUGAGAGGGUGUCCGGCCACACUGGGACUGAGAUACGGCCCAGACUCCUACGGGAGGCAGCAGUGGGGAAUAUUGCACAAUGGGCGCAAGCCUGAUGCAGCGACGCCGCGUGGGGGAUGACGGCCUUCGGGUUGUAAACCUCUUUCACCAUCGACGAAGGUCCGGGUUUUCUCGAUUGACGGUAGGUGGAGAAGAAGCACCGGCCAACUACGUGCCAGCAGCCGCGGUAAUACGUAGGGUGCGAGCGUUGUCCGGAAUUACUGGGCGUAAAGAGCUCGUAGGUGGUUUGUCGCGUUGUUCGUGAAAUCUCACGGCUUAACUGUGAGCGUGCGGGCGAUACGGGCAGACUGGAGUACUGCAGGGGAGACUGGAAUUCCUGGUGUAGCGGGAAUGCGCAGAUAUCAGGAGGAACACCGGUGGCGAAGGCGGGUCUCUGGGCAGUAACUGACACUGAGGAGCGAAAGCGUGGGGAGCGAACAGGAUUAGAUACCCUAGUAGUCC
rnacentral:rRNA from 1 species